GGUCCAACCUCCCAUCCGUGUCUAUCUGUACCCUGUUGCUUCGGCGUGGCCACGGCCCGCCGAAGACUAACAUUUGAACACUGUCUGAAGUUUGCAGUCUGAGUUUUUAGUUAAACAAUAAUUAAAACUUUCAACAACGGAUCUCUUGGUUCCGGCAUCGAUGAAGAACGCAGCGAAAUGCGAUAAUUAAUGUGAAUUGCAGAAUUCAGUGAAUCAUCGAGUCUUUGAACGCACAUUGCGCCCCCUGGUAUUCCGGGGGGCAUGCCUGUCCGAGCGUCAUUGCUGCCCUCAAGCACGGCUUGUGUGUUGGGCUUCCGUCCCUGGUAACGGGGACGGGCCCAAAAGGCAGUGGCGGCACCAUGUCUGGUCCUCGAGCGUAUGGGGCUUUGUCACCCGCUCCCGUAGGUCCAGCUGGCAGCUAGCCUCGCAACCAAUCUUUUUAACCAGGUUGACCUCGGAUCAGGUAGGGAUACCCGCUGAACUUAAGCAUAUCAAUAAGCCGGAGGAA
rnacentral:rRNA from 2 species